rnacentral:rRNA from 1 species
GAGGAAUAUUGGUCAAAGGGCGAGAGCCUGAACCAGCCAAGUCGCGUGAAGGAAGAAGGAUCUAUGGUUCGUAAACUUCUUUUGCAGGGGAAUAAAGUGCAGGACGUGUCCUGUUUUGUAUGUACCCUGAGAAUAAGGAUCGGCUAACUCCGUGCCAGCAGCCGCGGUAAUACGGAGGAUCCGAGCGUUAUCCGGAUUUAUUGGGGUUAAAGGGUGCGUAGGUGGUUUGAUAAGUCGGCGGUGAAAUUUUGCAGCUCAACUGUAAAAGUGCCUUCGAAACUGGUUUCCUCGAGGGCGGAUGAGGUAGGCGGAAUUUGUGGUGUAGCGGUGAAAUGCAUAGAUAUCACGAGGAACUCCGAUUGCGCAGGCAGCUUACCAAGCCGUAACUGACGCUCAAGCACGAAGGCGUGGGGAUCAAACA